rnacentral:rRNA from 1 species
AUUGAACGCUGGCGGCAGGCCUAACACAUGCAAGUCGAACGAGUGGCGGACGGGUGAGUAAUGUCUGGGAAACUGCCCGAUGGAGGGGGAUAACUACUGGAAACGGUAGCUACUACCGCAUAACAUCGUAUGUGCCCAGAUGGGAUUAGCUAGUUGGUGGGGUAACGGCUCACCAAGGCGACGAUCCCUAGCUGGUCUGAGAGGAUGACCAGCCACACUGGAACUGAGACACGGUCCAGACUCCUACGGGAGGCAGCAGUGGGGAAUAUUGCACAAUGGGCGAAAGCCUGAUGCAGCCAUGCCGCGUGUAUGAAGAAGGCCUUCGGGUUGUAAAGUACUUUCAGCGGGGAGGCGUUACCCGAAGAAGAAGCACCGGCUAACUCCGUGCCAGCAGCCGCGGUAAUAC